rnacentral:rRNA from 1 species
AUUGAACGCUGGCGGCAGGCCUAACACAUGCAAGUCGAGCGGCAGCGGGAAAGUAGCUUGCUACUUUUGCCGGCGAACGGCGGACGGGUGAGUAAUGCCUGGGAAAUUGCCCAGUCGAGGGGGAUAACAGUUGGAAGCGACUGCUAAUACCGCAUACGCCCUACGGGGGAAAGCAGGGGACCUUCGGGCCUUGCGCGAUUGGAUAUGCCCAGGUGGGAUUAGCUAGUUGGUGAGGUAAUGGCUCACCAAGGCGACGAUCCCUAGCUGGUCUGAGAGGAUGAUCAGCCACACUGGAACUGAGACACGGUCCAGACUCCUACGGGAGGCAGCAGUGGGGAAUAUUGCACAAUGGGGGAAACCCUGAUGCAGCCAUGCCGCGUGUGUGAAGAAGGCCUUCGGGUUGUAAAGCACUUUCAGCGAGGAGGAAAAGUUGAUGCCUAAUACGUAUCAACUGUGACGUUACUCGCAGAAGAAGCACCGGCUAACUCCGUGCCAGCCGCCGCCGUAA